UUUUUUAUUUUUACCAAUCACCAGAAACUUUAAGAACGUCUUCUAGCAUGUCAGCAACACCACUGUAGAUUUGCUAUGGUUACACCAAUAUGGCCGUCGUUGACUUCAUUUAUGCAUGUGGUGCUCUAUCCAGGAUAAUUUUGAGAUCAGCGGUAUUGACUCAAGUUGUAAAAUAGUGUAUGCAUUAGUAAAUUUAGUAACAUAAUUUUUGCCAUAAGCAAGGACGUUGC